rnacentral:rRNA from 3 species
CUGAUGGAUGGACCCGCGGUGCAUUAGCUAGUUGGUGAGGUAACGGCUCACCAAGGCCACGAUGCAUAGCCGACCUGAGAGGGUGAUCGGCCACAUUGGGACUGAGACACGGCCCAAACUCCUACGGGAGGCAGCAGUAGGGAAUCUUCGGCAAUGGACGAAAGUCUGACCGAGCAACGCCGCGUGAGUGAAGAAGGUUUUCGGAUCGUAAAACUCUGUUGUUAGAGAAGAACAAGGAUGAGAGUAACUGUUCAUCCCUUGACGGUAUCUAACCAGAAAGCCACGGCUAACUACGUGCCAGCAGCCGCGGUAAUACGUAGGUGGCAAGCGUUGUCCGGAUUUAUUGGGCGUAAAGCGAGCGCAGGCGGUUUCUUAAGUCUGAUGUGAAAGCCCCCGGCUCAACCGGGGAGGGUCAUUGGAAACUGGGAGACUUGAGUGCAGAAGAGGAGAGUGGAAUUCCAUGUGUAGCGGUGAAAUGCGUAGAUAUAUGGAGGAACACCAGUGGCGAAGGCGGCUCUCUGGUCUGUAACUGACGCUGAGGCUCGAAAGCGUGGGGAGCAAACAGGAUUAGAUACCCUGGUAGUCCACGCCGUAAACGAUGAGUGCUAAGUGUUGGAGGGUUUCCGCCCUUCAGUGCUGCAGCUAACGCAUUAAGCACUCCGCCUGGGGAGUACGACCGCAAGGUUGAAACUCAAAGGAAUUGACGGGGGCCCGCACAAGCGGUGGAGCAUGUGGUUUAAUUCGAAGCAACGCGAAGAACCUUACCAGGUCUUGACAUCCUUUGACCACUCUAGAGAUAGAGCUUCCCCUUCGGGGGCAAAGUGACAGGUGGUGCAUGGUUGUCGUCAGCUCGUGUCGUGAGAUGUUGGGUUAAGUCCCGCAACGAGCGCAACCCUUAUUGUUAGUUGCCAUCAUUCAGUUGGGCACUCUAGCAAGACUGCCGGUGACAAACCGGAGGAAGGUGGGGAUGACGUCAAAUCAUCAUGCCCCUUAUGACCUGGGCUACACACGUGCUACAAUGGGAAGUACAACGAGUUGCGAAGUCGCGAGGCUAAGCUAAUCUCUUAAAGCUUCUCUCAGUUCGGAUUGCAGGCUGCAACUCGCCUGCAUGAAGCCGGAAUCGCUAGUAAUCGCGGAUCAGCACGCCGCGGUGAAUACGUUCCCGGGCCUUGUACACACCGCCCGUCACACCACGAGAGUUUGUAACACCCGAAGUCGGUGAGGUAACCUUUUUGGAGCCAGCCGCCUAAGGUGGGAUAGAUGAUUGGGGUGAAGUCGUAACAAGGUAGCCGUAUCGGAAGGUGCGGCUGGAUCACCUCCUUU